ACCAUCUUUGUCUGGGGGUGGACUGGGCUGUUCAAUGAACGUAUAGUGAGAUCAGCCCUGCUAACACCGAAACCAACACAACUCGCAUCACCUGAACUCAUUUGUUUAGGCUAUGGUGCAAUUUUUGGAACC